rnacentral:miRNA from 1 species
AGGCGGGUUCGGCGGUG